AUGUGUCCUCUCUCCUCCAGGCCAGCACGGGCUGCCCCUUCUAACCCCUGGUUAUCUGAUGUUCUUCGUGAGCAUCGGACCAGACUCAGGGCAGCAGAGAGAAAAUGGUGCAAAUCAAAAGAUCCGGCAGAUCUGAGUAUGUAUCAGUCUUUGGUUUCAUCUUUCUCUGCUGAAGUCCAUACUGCCAAAUCUUCAUACUUCCACAACAAGAUCAACAGCGCCCCAGACACACGUAAUCUCUUCAAAACAUUCAGUUCUCUCCUCUGUCCCCCUCCACCACCUCCCACCACUUCUAUAACAGCUGAUGAUUUCGCCACAUUCUUCACAGACAAAACCAGAACAAUCAGUAGUCUAUUCUCAGGCCAGCACACACAAGACCUCAAACCAACCACACCCAAUGCUAAAACUCCCAUCUUCUCCUUCUGUCCCCUCACUGAGGCAGAAGUAUCAAAACUUCUCAUCUCUAGCCACCCUACAACAUGCCCUCUAGACCCAAUCCCCUCACACCUCCUCCAAGCGAUCUCUCCCCCACUCUUACCAGCACUCACACACAUCAUCAACACAUCUCUCCUCACAGGCACCUUCCCCACUGCAUUCAAGCAGGCUCGGGUAACCCCACUGCUCAAGAAACCUACAUUAAACACUUCACUUACAGAUAGCUACAGACCUGUCUCUCUCCUUCCAUUCAUAACGAAAACCCUCAAAAGAGUUGUUUUCAACCAGGUAUCAUUGUUUCUCUCACAGAACAACAAACUGGAUGCUAACCAGUCAGGUUUCAGGAGUGACCAUUCAACUGAGACUGUGCUACUGUCAGUCACGGAAGCCCUGUGGAUUGCAAAAGCUGAUUCAUCAGUUCUUAUUCUGCUUGAUCUAUCUGCUGCUUUUGACACUGUUAAUCAUCAGAUCCCCUCUCAUCACUGGGCAUCACAGGGAUUCCACUUCACUGGUUUGAAUCAUAUCUUACUGGUAGGUCUUUCAGGGUGGCAUGGGGAGGGGAGGUAG
ensembl:lncRNA